UGUACACACUGGCCGCAUGUGAUGCAUUCAAGAGCGUGCAAUUCCCGGUUUCAUGAAUGCGCAUGUUCAACCAGCACCAGAUAAGAACGGGCUUCUUCUUUUUUUACUGUUCUCUCCAGGUUUUCUCUUUCACAGCUCUACUCCCACAUGUGAAAGUCUUGAUGUCAUGUAAUUCCAGACAGACACAAACUGCAAUUAUUAAUUUAUCCUUCGUGAUCAUGUUUACAAUUUUUUGCCUGUUUUGAAGAACAGGUUACAAAAUACACAUUUGGGUAAAAGUAUAACACCUUUUUAGGGUUUUUGUUGUCUUAUUUUGGUUGUCUUGACCCAUUUACAGAAUGUUAAGCAAUGCUCGCCCACGAUGAAAAGAAUGCAUGAGAGAAUGUUAGAGAAAAUUCGUUUGGCUUGCAGGUUUUUUUUUUUUUUUACCUAUUUUGUUUUUGAGGCCACAGAGCUUCAGGACCAUGUACACCUUGAAAUGCACGACUUUGUGGCUUUCAGUCAAACAAACGCUCAUCCUGUUCACAGACGGUCUCACUCUGCAGCUAUCAGUGAACUGUUGUGUCUUUCAGCAAAUCCUUCACUUUUGUCUGAUUGACAGUAUUCAUUCAGGGGAACACAACUAUGCCUGGAGCUGCUUUUGGGCUGUUUUUUCUUCAGCUUUUAGUCUCCGUUAUCCAAGGGCUCCAGAAUGUCAAUGUCAUUCCUGGGUCAACAGUGGAAGCCGUCGUGGGGCAGAACGUCAGUUUGCCGUGUAUCUUAAAAGAAGAUCAUGACCUUAAAAUCAUUCUUUCUGAAUGGACAAAAAACGGAGCAACAAAGCUGGCGUUGUACAGUGUAGACCACGGACUGCACCUCUUUUGGACAAAUGUUACUGUCCAGAUUAAGAAAAGUAGCACAAACAAAAUACUGGGCACCUAUCAAUACCUCCAAAAUGUAAAGAAAUGGGAUAGUGGAAAUUAUAAUUGUAAGAUUGCAGGUUUUCCUUUAAGUUCUAAUAUAAGUGUAACAAGUCUAAUAGUCAAAGACAGACCUGGGCAUUAUACGACCCAUGAGCCAGAAAAGGCCCUUUGCUUACCUUUGACUGCUCCGCGUGAGGUAAAUGGAAAAUCUCCUGAAAAUAAAACACAUUUCCAACAAUUACAAGACAACAUUGAUCCCACUCCUCCAUAGAAUCCGCGCCACACUUAAAAGCCUGUUUAAAUUGCACAAGAGUUUUUGGAGGACAAAAUGUCUGCUCGGGGUAAAAAGCACAAGACAGAAAUCAAAUGCAAAGUUUUCAACAAAAUUGGACUGUUAAGUACUUUUUCACUUAUAUUGGAGGUAAAGCAGUGUGUUCAGUGUGCAAGGAGCAGAUCGCUGUAUUUAAGGAUUAUAUUUUGAGUCAACAUUACGAUAGGAAGCACGGCGAGACAAACAGAAACUUCCCCGAGACCGAAAUGGCGCGGACUGCAGAGACUUUGCUUGGUAAGAUACAAAAAUGAGGAUCUAGGACAUCUUGGAAAAUAUGGAACUUUAGCUAAAAAGUCAAGUGGCAAAAUUUGACUUUUUUUCUAUGGCUGUGGACGAGGGAUAACAGGGUUCAAGAUCACGGAGGAGAUGGCUGCAAUGUGCGGACUAAAGAGGGGACAAUGACCGGGAGCAAUCUGCUCACAGAGGUAAAUGCUUGCAUGGACGCACUGGGACAGAAAUGAGACACAUUGGUGGACCUCGCAAUGGCUGGCUGUCCAUAUAUUACUGGAAAAAUGUUGGACUUUUGAAACGUAUCUGAGACAAAGUGACAGAAAAAGGCACAUAUCUUUUUUUUAAAACUGUAAAUAAAAACAUGUAACAUAAGGGGAGGGUCCACUCAAGACUUUUCUUUUACCCUUUCCUUUUCAAGCACAUUGCUUUGUGUUAUACUUGUAAUAUAUAUAUAUGUAUAUAUAUAUAUAUACAUUUAUAUGUGGGUGUGUGUGUGUGUGUAUCAGCAUGAGCUUUACAAGUUAGUGCUUAAACUCAACCAUGUGUUUGAUAUUGUUACAAAAAUUGUAAACUUUAUUAGGGCAAGAUUGUGGGAAAAUUGUGAUGUCUAUUUAACACUGUUGUGAUUCAUAAAAAUAUCUAAAAGUUCAAUGUUUUCUUUAGCUUUUCUUUACUUGUGGAUAUUUGAUUAAUUUUUUUUUCAAAAACAAGGUAAUUGUUUCAUUUCUUAUUUAAAGCAAAUGGUCUUAACAGGUCGCAAAAACAAUACUAUUUGUUACUAUCUUAAAAUAAAGAAAUACAAUUGAUUUUACCAAAAACAAGCAGGAGAAACUCAUACUAAAGAAAGGGGAGUUUACCUCCAGCUGAAUGACAACAGGCUACAUCUGUGCUUCCUUCUCAAGGUCCACAUGGUGCUUUAAAGGCUUCCUUCACCACUCCUGAAACUGAAACUGAUCAGACACAGAUAGACACACAAAGAUCCACAAAAAUGCAGAGGUCCCACUCUGAAACAGGAAUAAAACACC